rnacentral:rRNA from 1 species
UACGAAGGGGGCUAGCGUUGCUCGGAAUUACUGGGCGUAAAGGGCGCGUAGGCGGAUAUCUAAGUUGGGGGUGAAAUCCCGGGGCUCAACCUCGGAAUUGCCUUCAAAACUGGAUAUCUUGAGUUCGGGAGAGGUGAGUGGAACUCCGAGUGUAGAGGUGAAAUUCGUAGAUAUUCGGAAGAACACCCGUGGCGAAGGCGGCUCUCUGGAACGCAACUGACGCUGAGACGCGAAAGCGUGGGGAGCAAACAGG